GUCUGGCCUGCUCACUGAUAUUUUAAAGAGCCGCGGUAUUUUGACCGUGCAAAGGUAGCAUAAUCAUUAGUCUCUUAAUUAGAGGCUGGAAUGAAUGGCUCGACGAGAAAUCAACUGUCUCUUAAUAAGUUUUAGAACUUAACUUUUAAGUUAAAAGGCUUAAAUUUUUCUUUAGGACGAGAAGACCCUAUAGAGCUUUACAUUUAAUUUUUAUAUAAUUUUAUGUUAGUCUUUUUAUAUUAAAUGCUAAUGUUUUGUUGGGGUGACAUAAGGAAUUAAUAAACUCCUUGUUAUUAAAUCAUUAAUUUAUGUUUAUUUGAUCCAUAAUUUAUGAUCAUAAGAUUAAGUUACCUUAGGGAUAACAGCGUAAUUGUUUUUGAGAGCUCAUAUCGACAAAGCAGAUUGCGACCUCGAUGUUGGAUUAAGAAAAAUUCUAGGUGCAGUAGUCUAGUAAUUAGGUCUGUUCGACCUUUAAAUUCUUACG
rnacentral:rRNA from 1 species